rnacentral:rRNA from 1 species
UCCUGGCUUAGGAUGAACGCUGGCGGCGUGCUUAACACAUGCAAGUCGAACGAAGCAACUAUCUUGCUUGCAAGAGAGUUGACUUAGUGGCGGACGGGUGAGUAACGCGUGGGUAACCUUGCCUCAUACAGGGGGAUAACAGUUGGAAACGACUGCUAAGACCGCAUAACCCGCUAGUGUCGCAUGACACGGACGGAAAAUAUUUAUAGGUAUGAGAUGGGCCCGCGUCUGAUUAGCUAGUUGGUAAGGUAACGGCUUACCAAGGCGACGAUCAGUAGCCGACUUGAGAGAGUGAUCGGCCACAUUGGGACUGAGACACGGCCCAAACUCCUACGGGAGGCAGCAGUGGGGAAUAUUGGACAAUGGGGGGAAACCCUGAUCCAGCCGACGCCGCGUGAGUGAAGAAGUAUUUCGGUAUGUAAAGCUCUAUCAGCAGGGAAGAUAAUGACAGUACCUGACUAAGAAGCCCCGGCUAACUACGUGCCAGCCGCCGC